AACGAACGCUGGCGGCAUGCCUAACACAUGCAAGUCGAACGAGACCUUCGGGUCUAGUGGCGCACGGGUGCGUAACGCGUGGGAACCUGCCCUUAGGUUCGGAAUAACUCCCCGAAAGGGGUGCUAAUACCGGAUAAUGUCUUCGGACCAAAGAUUUAUCGCCUUUGGAUGGGCCCGCGUUGGAUUAGCUAGUUGGUAGGGUAAAAGCCUACCAAGGCGACGAUCCAUAGCUGGUCUGAGAGGAUGAUCAGCCACACUGGGACUGAGACACGGCCCAGACUCCUACGGGAGGCAGCAGUGGGGAAUAGUGGACAAUGGGGGAAGGCCUGAUCCAGCAAUGCCGGGUGAGUGAUGAAGGCCUUAGGGUUGUAAAGCUCUUUUACCCGGGAUGAUAAUGACAGUACCGGGAGAAUAAGCUCCGGCUAACUCCGUG
rnacentral:rRNA from 1 species